rnacentral:misc_RNA from 1 species
GAACGCACAUUGCGCCCAAUAGUAUUCUACUGGGCAUGCCUGUUCGAGCGUCAUUUCAACCCUCAGGCCCUGUGGUCUGGUGCUGGGGCAUCUACGAGUUUCGUAGGCCCUGAAAUAUAGUGGCGGGCUUGCGAGGACCCCGAGCGUAGUAAUUACACAAUCGCUUAGGGCGUCUAGCGGGCUUACUUGCCGUUAAACCCCCCAAAUUCUAAUGGUUGACCUCGGAUCAGGUAGGAAUACCCGCUGAACUUAAG